rnacentral:rRNA from 1 species
GUCCAUACAACCCUGAAUAACCCUGAUCUUGUCUGUGAAGAUAAGCAGGGUCAGGAUGGAUUUGCACUUGGAUGGGAGACCCCGGGAAUGCCAGAGAU